CCUACGGGAGGCAGCAGUGGGGAAUAUUGCUCAAUGGGGGAAACCCUGAAGCAGCAACGCCGCGUGGAGGAUGAAGGUUUUCGGAGUGUAAACCCCUUUUGGCAGAGAAGAUAAUGACGGUAUCUAACGAAUAAGCACCGGCUACUUCCGUGCCAGCAGCCGCGGUACUAAGGAGGGGGCAAGCGUUAUUCGGAACCACUGGGCGUAAAAAGCGGGGAGGCGGGACAGCAAGUCAGAUGUGAAAUCCUAGGGCUUAACCAUCGUACUGCAUUUGAACCGGGUCUUCUUGAGUGGGGGAGAGGUAUGUGGAAUUCUUGGUGUAGCGGUAAAAUGCGUAGAUAUCAAGAGGAACACCCAUUGCGAAGGCGACCUGCUGGACCAUAACUGACGCUGAUGCUCGAAAGCGUGGGGAGCGAACAGGAUUAGAUACCCUUGUAGUC
rnacentral:rRNA from 1 species